AAAAAAAUGAAAUGUGUUAGUUUUGAUAAAAAUCAACGCCUGCAAUAUGCAAGUUGGUGUAGCGCAGGCAGCAGGCAGUAGGCAGUAGUUUGAGCUGUCUGGAUAUGAUUAAGAGAGAAUAACUAUGACAUAUGUGCACAUCUCUGCUGCUCUUCAGUGUGAGCUAAUGUUUCUCAGUUUUUCAUGUAUAGGGAAAUAUCCUCUCAGCUGUGCUGACAGCCUCAGAUGAAUCACCCUGGUUUAUUCUGCUGAUGCUGCAGGUAUACGAGAGCCAGGAAUUUAAUAUGCAGCUGUGGGAGAGAAGAGCUACGGGUGCUGGAGAGGAUCAAUAAUCGAAAUGUCAAGCAGAGUGGCUGAACUGCUAUACGUUUCAUUCCAGAGUUGCAGUGACCCUUGCAGAGCUGCAGUUGCAGUAAUGGGCUGUAAACCGUUAAGGGCCUAACCUCAGUGUCUCUCGGGACAGUUGUCUGCAGGAUCACACACAAGAGCCAGAGAGCUGAAAGCCUAUAUCUACGAACACUUUCUGCGGGGUACUGUUAUCUGUUUUCAUGUCUCAAAGCUAGUUUUAAAGACACCCACAACUGAGUGUUUCUCAUCUUUUGUGGAUUCAAAAUCAGGGCAGAUUCAAGAACUAACAAAUUCUCACACUGGAUUUCAAAAACAAAGAAAGUCUAUGGCUUACAAAGAGUUAGAGAGGAAAAUUGGGCCUCUAUUAUAAUCCAAACAGAAUCACUGCACAAAGGAGAAUUAGGAAACAGCACAGAAGAUGAGAAUGCACAAUAAAGCACUGACAAAACUAAUAAAGCA
ensembl:lncRNA